rnacentral:rRNA from 1 species
UGGGGAAUAUUGCACAAUGGGCGCAAGCCUGAUGCAGCGACGCCGCGUGGGGGAUGACGGCCUUCGGGUUGUAAACUCCUUUCGCCAGGGACGAAGCGUCUUGUGACGGUACCUGGAGAAGAAGCACCGGCUAACUACGUGCCAGCAGCCGCGGUAAUACGUAGGGUGCAAGCGUUGUCCGGAAUUACUGGGCGUAAAGAGCUCGUAGGUGGUUUGUCACGUCGUCUGUGAAAUUCCACAGCUUAACUGUGGGCGUGCAGGCGAUACGGGCUGACUUGAGUACUGUAGGGGUAACUGGAAUUCCUGGUGUAGCGGUGAAAUGCGCAGAUAUCAGGAGGAACACCGAUGGCGAAGGCAGGUUACUGGGCAGUUACUGACGCUGAGGAGCGAAAGCAUGGGUAGCAAACAGGAUUAGAUACCCUGGUAGUCCAUGCCGUAAACGGUGGGCGCUAGGUGUAGGGGCCUUUUGGGGUUUCUGUGCCGUAGCUAACGCAUUAAGCGCCCCGCCUGGGGAGUACGGCCGCAAGGCUA